rnacentral:rRNA from 1 species
GUGUCAGCAGCCGCGGUAAUACGGAGGGGGCUAGCGUUGUUCGGAAUUACUGGGCGUAAAGCGCGCGUAGGCGGUUUGCCAAGUCAGAGGUGAAAGCCCGGGGCUUAACCUCGGAAUUGCCUUUGAGACUGGCAGGCUUGAGUACGGGAGAGGUAAGUGGAAUUCCGAGUGUAGAGGUGAAACUCGUAGAUAUUCGGAAGAACACCAGUGGCGAAGGCGGCUUACUGGACCGUUACUGACGCUGGGGCGCGAAAGCGUGGGGAGCAAACAGGAUUAGAUACCCUGGUAGUCCACGCCGUAAACGAUGGGUGCUAGAUGUUGGGGGCCUUUGGCUUCCGGUGUCGCAGCUAACGCGUUAAGCACCCCGCCUGGGGAGUACGGCCGCAAGGUUAAAACUCAAAUGAAUUGGCGGGG